CUAUAGCUUCACACUGGACGCUGAUGUUGCCUGUGUAGGAUAGCUGGGAGGCUUAGAAACCCGGACGCCAGUUCGGGUGGAGCCAACCUUGAAAUACCAGCCUGGCAUCAUUGGCGUUCUCACUCAGGUCCGUUAUCCGGAUCGAGGACAGUGUGUGGUGGGUAGUUUGACUGGGGCGGUCUCCUCCUAAAGAGUAACGGAGGAGCACGAAGGUACCCUCAGCACGGUCGGACAUCGUGCAAUGAGUGCAAGAGCAUAAGGGUGCUUGACUGCGAGACAGACACGUCGAGCAGGUGCGAAAGCAGGUUCUAGUGAUCCGGUGGUUCUGUAUGGAAGGGCCAUCGCUCAACGGAUAAAAGGUACUCCGGGGAUAACAGGCUGAUACCGCCCAAGAGUUCACAUCGACGGCGGUGUUUGGCACCUCGAUGUCGGCUCAUCACAUCCUGGGGCUGAAGUCGGUCCCAAGGGUAUGGCUGUUCGCCAUUUAAAGUGGUACGCGAGCUGGGUUUAGAACGUCGUGAGACAGUUCGGUCCCUAUCUGCCGUGGGCGUUGGAUGUUUGAGAAGGGCUGCUCCUAGUACGAGAGGACCGGAGUGGACGACCCUCUGGUGUUCCGGUUGUCACGCCAGUGGCAUUGCCGGGUAGCUAUGGUCGGACGGGAUAACCGCUGAAAGCAUCUAAGCGGGAAGCCCCCUUCAAGAUGAGACAUCCCUGAGGCCUAGAGCCUCCUGAAGGGCCCAGCGAGACCAGCUGGUUGAUAGGCACGGUGUGGAAGCGCUGCAAGGUGUUGAGCUAACGUGUACUAAUGGCCCGUGAGGCUUGACCCU
rnacentral:rRNA from 1 species